rnacentral:rRNA from 1 species
UACGUAGGGCGCAAGCGUUAUCCGGAAUUACUGGGCGUAAAGGGCUCGUAGGCGGCCAACUAAGUCGGACGUGAAAUCCCUCAGCUUAACUGGGGAACUGCGUCCGAUACUGGAUGGCUUGGAUUUGGGAGAGGGAUGCGGAAUUCCAGGUGUAGCGGCGAAAUGCGUAGAUAUCUGGAGGAACACCGGUGGCGAAGGCGGCAUCCUGGACCAAUAUUGACGCUGAGGAGCGAAAGCCAGGGGAGCAAACGGG